UUAUUGUGACUCAUCGCCCGCACAUCCACCUUUGUUCUGGCAAUAUUUUUAAUGCUUGCUGAGAGGGUGUUGAACAGCCACAGACCUCUGAUGUUCAGACAGUGCUUUCUGUGCCUAUGGCAUCUCUAUUCUUCACUAGUUCACUACAUUUGCUUCGGUAUCUUUUGCUCCUGUAUGUUAUUCUACUGUACAAAUUUGGGACAUGACCUCCCAGUAUCUUGCUUGUAUGUAGUAUUUGAUACCUCUCUUGUCUCCUUUCCAGAGUACAUUUUGAGAGCUUUGAGACAGAUCUAAUAAUUUAGGGGUUUUAUUGUGUGUAUGCUUGUCAUAUAGGUUCUGUGUGUUCCCUCUAUUUCAGCAAUUUCUCCUGCUCUGAAAAGAGAAGUGAGUACUGAGCAGUACUCAAGAUGAGAGGGCACCAGUGAUAUAAUUAGUAUUAACAUUGCUUUGGGAUCGGGAUCUGGAUUAACAUUGCUGCUAUAUUUGCUCGGUUAUGUUCACUAAAUGUCAGGUCAGGUCAGGUCAGGUCGUCAGACCUGACCUGUCAGACUUGUCCAGUCAUUAGCCAUCAUAAUAUCCAGAUCUUUUAUGUGUAAUUUCCUUCUGUGAUUAAGUUUGUCCUGAACCCAGUAUUUCAUUUAAGUUUCUCAUUUCCACCAUACCUAAGUACCAGAAACUUCUCUCUGUUAAACAUGUUAUUUUCUAUUGCCUAGUUGAAGUCUUUAUUAGUAUCGGCUUGAAAUUUUUCAUUUUCUUCUACGGGAAAUUUUUAUGCUGAUUUUUGUAUCAUCUGCAAAGGAUGACAUGAAGCCGUGACUAGUAUUUUUGUCUCUGUCCGAGACAAGAAUGAGAGAGCAGUGGUAGAAGGACUGUACCUUGGAGUAGAGAGCUUUUCACUGCACUUUGACUUGAUCUUAUUUGACUAUUACUCUUUGCAUUCUGUUUGGCAAAAAGUUGAAAAUCCAUCGUCCCACUGUAUCCAUUAUUCCUAUUGAUCGCAUUUAAUGGGUUAUCACUCCAUGGUCACACAUCAAAAGCCUUUGCAAAGUCUGUGUAUAUAACAUCUGCAUUUUGUUUUUAUUUUGAUGCUUCUGUGGAUUUGUCAUAGUGGUUGAGUAACUGUGAAAGACAAAAUCUUCCCGCUCUAAAUCCAUGUUGACCUAGCUUGUGAAGUUCAUUGAAGAAAUGUUGACAUUAUGGUACUGGAGAUCUCUACUUGAGUAGACAAUCUGAUAAUCAUUACUGCCUGCAAUUCACCAGCAUAGAACUAGAUUACAAACGAGCUCUUAUAAUGAUCAGGAGAGACGUUAUAGUAAGAGUAGAUAAUAAUAAAUUAUGAUUGAUGGUACUUAAUUUUAUUUGUAAAUCAUUAGACUUGGUGGCCUAUGAAGCAGGGACGGAUGACAUUGGACUGACAGAUUUGUAAACCUCGUCCUGGAGACUUUCAUGUAUCAGCACAUUAACAGGCCACAAGAAUGAUGGAAAGGGAUGUUCCUUCAAUGCUGGAUUUACUACUUACUCAGAAAUAAGAGGUCUUUGACCUCCCUCCUUUAGAUAAAUGAUACUGAAUGCAGAGUUGAUUAUUGUAUUCCUAUUUAUGAGAAGUUGCAAACUUUUAGCAAAGUUCACCAGACAAUUGGUCAUCUCGGAUAUUGCAGGUAUUUCUUUUUGGUACAGUAACAUUUCAAUGAAGAUUCUGUAAAUUAUUUGCCAUAAUCAUUUGCCUGUUUUAUAAAAUGUGAAGUGAAGGUUGCCUAACUAACUCACUGUCUUGUCCUCGGAGCCACCUGGGUUGUGUACCUGUAUUUCCUGGGUACAAAAGGCCACUUUAGCAGUUGACUUAUGCCAUUGUUUAUCAAAAAAUCUAUGUACAUUGUUGACCAGACCACACACUAGAAGGUGAAGGGACGACAACGUUUUGGCCCGUCCUGGACCAUUCUCAAGUUGAUAUGUACAUUGUAUUUAAAUGCUUAUGACAUGUUGCUUAAAUGGACGGCAUUGUGAAAGGUAGCAUGACUUGAAGAUGAUGUACAGUAUUGUGAUUAGUGAGAAAUCAGAAUUUAUUACUGGGUUUGUUUAUGGUGGACUUUGCCAAGGUUAGCUAGAGGUAAAUGUAACAAAUGUGAUAACAGUUGAUUUCUAUAUUGUUCAGAUGAGUAUUUGUAUUUUCAUGUAAUAAAGUUAUAUAAAGUUAA
rnacentral:lncRNA from 1 species